AGUAUGAGCAUAUUUGUUAGGACCGAAAGAUGGUGAACUAUGCUUGAGUAGGGUGAAGUCAGGGGAAACUCUGAUGGAGGCUCGUAGCGAUACUGACGUGCAAAUCGUUCGUCAAACUUGAGUAUAGGGGCGAAAGACUAAUCGAACCAUCUAGUAGCUGGUUCCUCCCGAAGUUUCUCUCAGGAUAGCAAGAUCAAUAUUGCAGUUUUAUCAGGUAAAGCGAAUGAUUAGAGGAUUCUGGGGAGUAAUUCCCUAGACCUAUUCUCAAACUUUAAAUUGGUAAGAACUCGUUAUUUCUUAAUUGAAUAGCGGGGAUGAAUGCAUGAUCUUAGUGGGCCAUUUUUGGUAAGCAGGACUGGCGAUGAGGGAUGAACCUAACGUUGAGUUAAGGUGCCAAACUACACGCGCAUCAGAUACCAUAAACGGUGUUUAUUCAUUUAGACAGCAGGACGGUGGCCAUGGAAGUCGGAAUCCGCUAAGGAGUGUGUAACAACUCACCUGCCGAAUGAAUUAUGCCC
rnacentral:rRNA from 1 species